UAGGGAAUCUUCGGCAAUGGGGGGAACCCUGACCGAGCAACGCCGCGUGAGUGAAGAAGGUUUUCGGAUCGUAAAGCUCUGUUGUUAAGGAAGAACGAGUGUGAGAAUGGAAAGUUCAUGCUGUGACGGUACUUAACCAGAAAGGGACGGCUAACUACGUGCCAGCAGCCGCGGUAAUACGUAGGUCCCGAGCGUUGUCCGGAUUUAUUGGGCGUAAAGCGAGCGCAGGCGGUUAGAAAAGUCUGAAGUGAAAGGCAGUGGCUCAACCAUUGUAGGCUUUGGAAACUGUUUAACUUGAGUGCAGAAGGGGAGAGUGGAAUUCCAUGUGUAGCGGUGAAAUGCGUAGAUAUAUGGAGGAACACCGGUUGCGAAAGCGGCUCUCUGGUCUGUAACUGACGCUGAGGCUAGAAAGCGUGGGGAGCGAACAGG
rnacentral:rRNA from 1 species